AUUGAACGCUGGCGGCACGCCUAACACAUGCAAGUCGAACGGCAGCACGGAGAGUAGCAAUACUUUGGGUGGCGAGUGGCGGACGGGUGAGUAACGCGUAGGAAUCUACCCUAGAGAUGAGGAUAACUUGGGGAAACUCAAGCUAAUACUGAAUACGCCCUUAGGGGUAAAGGUUGCGCAAGCAGCCGCUUUAGGAUGAGCCUGCGUUAGAUUAGCUAGUUGGUGGGGUAAAGGCCUACCAAGGCGACGAUCUAUAGCUGUUCUGAGAGGAAGAUCAGCCACACUGGGACUGAGACACGGCCCAGACUCCUACGGGAGGCAGCAGUGGGGAAUAUUGGACAAUGGGCGCAAGCCUGAUCCAGCAAUGCCGCGUGUGUGAAGAAGGCCUUCGGGUUGUAAAGCACUUUCAGUGGGGAGGAAAAGCUGGUGGCUAAUAUCCAUCGGCCGUGACGCUACCCACAGAAGAAGCACCGGCUAAUUCCGUG
rnacentral:rRNA from 1 species